UGAGGAAUAUUGGUCAAUGGACGAAAGUCUGACGCAGCCAUGCCGCGUGUGUGAAGAAGGCCUUCGGGUUGUAAAGCACUUUCAAUUGGGAGGAAAGGUUCACGGUUAAUAACCGUGAGCUGUGACGUUACCUUUAGAAGAAGCACCGGCUAACUCCGUGCCAGCAGCCGCGGUAAUACGGAGGGUGCAAGCGUUAAUCGGAAUUACUGGGCGUAAAGUGCGCGUAGGUGGUCUGUUAAGUCGGAUGUGAAAGCCCCGGGCUCAACCUGGGAACUGCAUCCGAUACUGGCAGACUAGAGUGCGGGAGAGGGAGGUAGAAUUCCACGUGUAGCGGUGAAAUGCGUAGAUAUGUGGAGGAAUACCAGUGGCGAAGGCGGCCUCCUGGCUCGACACUGACACUGAGGUGCGAAAGCGUGGGGAGCAAACAGG
rnacentral:rRNA from 1 species